AUUGAACGCUGGCGGCAGGCCUAACACAUGCAAGUCGAACGGUAACAGGAAACAGCUUGCUGUUUCGCUGACGAGUGGCGGACGGGUGAGUAAUGUCUGGGAAACUGCCUGAUGGAGGGGGAUAACUACUGGAAACGGUAGCUAAUACCGCAUAACGUCGCAAGACCAAAGAGGGGGACCUUCGGGCCUCUUGCCAUCGGAUGUGCCCAGAUGGGAUUAGCUAGUAGGUGGGGUAACGGCUCACCUAGGCGACGAUCCCUAGCUGGUCUGAGAGUAUGACCAGCCAAACUGGAACUGAGACACGGUCCAGACUCCUACGGGAGGCAGCAGUGGGGAAUAUUGCACAAUGGGCGCAAGCCUGAUGCAGCCAUGCCGCGUGUAUGAAGAAGGCCUUCGGGUUGUAAAGUACUUUCAGCGGGGAGGAAGGGAGUAAAGUUAAUACCUUUGCUCAUUGACGUUACCCGAAGAAGAAGCACCGGCUAACUCCGUGCCAGCCGCCGCGGUAA
rnacentral:rRNA from 1 species